rnacentral:sRNA from 1 species
UAGCUUGGUGGAGUGCGUUGCUGACAG